rnacentral:lncRNA from 1 species
UGAGAGGAUUAUUUCACAAUUUUAUUGCACAACUGAAAAUUAACCUUUUUUUUUUUUUUUAAAUAUUUACAAGCCAUUUACUUUGCACACACAAUCUAAACAGCAUUUUCCCAAAUAAAAUUGUCACCUAGAAAACUUACACAUGGACUGAAGUAUAUGUGUAAAUUAAGUGGUUUGUGUUAAAUGUAAAUUGCCUCAGUAUGGAGGGGGAGGUGCUUGGAGAUGGGACAGCAUAAGGAAAGAAGACACAUUUUUCUUUUCUUUCCUGAAACAUUAUUUAAAAAUCUUUCCCCAAGCUGGGGAGAGAAACAGAAGAGUUGAAGCAGAAGGACAGCCAGGCAGGUGCUGAGUUGGAGAGUCAGAAUCUUCAGUGCCACAAGCCUUGUUUCAUGCAUCGCUCACCCUAAAGGUCAUGGCACUCCAGUUUUUCUCUGGAAAAUGUAGAAUCACCUUGGCCAUGAGAGAAAAGAAUGAGGUUUGAGUCUUAAGAAGAAACACACGUGAAAAGCCAUUGUUGAGGGAUUUUACCCCUUUCUCACAGUUUCUUACCUGCACUGUUGGAAAUGUGCUGGCUGACACACUGCCACAAACCUGGCACAACCCGACCACCAAUUCCAGGGGUAAUAUUUUACCCACCAUUAUGAAGCCCACAGUUUUGGGCUGAAAAUGAGUGCUUUCCUGGCUGUUAGCACAAGUUGUCUGUCAACACAUGCAGCAGAGUCUCUGGAGUCCACAAAUCACCCCUCUCCCGUGGCUGAUCCACCCACACCUUUUCUGUCACAUGGAUUGUUGUUCUCAAGUUUGUCAGUAUUAUACUCAAUAUUGAGUAUAAGGCCUUGUAGCACUUACUGCUUAGUUUCCAGGGGAUUUUGACACCUGCAAUCUUAAAUGAGUAGGUGGCAACUCUAAAACUGAUGCUCACCACCAGCACUGUAACCUUUCCUGCUACUCACAGAGCAAGGGGUGAUGUGGGGCUGAAGUGAACUGAAAUGCCCUCUUUUGAAGUCCUGCUCACUCCAUUGACUCUCAAAGGAAACAAAGGGGACUGAAAGGGAUGUCAAUUGCCAGAAAAGGCUGCCCAGGAAGGGUCACCAUCCCUGGAGGUAUUUAAAAGAGUAGAUGUGGCACUUAGGGACAUGGCUUAGUGGUGGACUUAGCAGUGUUAGGUUUAUGGCUGGACUUAAUUAUGGAUGUCUCUUCCAACCUAAAUGACUCCAUGACUCU